rnacentral:lncRNA from 1 species
CUCCCUUGAGCUUGAUAAGAACCCCGUGGGAGAGGAGAGAGGGGGGCCCCCCAGGAUCUGAAAAGCUGUGCCUCAGCCAAGUUCAUGAGUCACUGGCGAGGAGGCCUGUAGGUCAGCAAAGCCUAGGAGGUCAAGAGUGCCCACAUGGGGACCUACGGGCCUCAGGGCCGCAGGUUGCUGGGUUGGACCCUGGCUUGGAGCUCAGGAUAGAAACCCGGAAACCCCACAGGCAAAGAAGGAUGCAGAACAGAACAGGGCAGAACCAAGGACCCAGUGAGGGUGGCUGGCGUCAGAGCAAAUAUCAGAGUUCACAAGGUGAAAUAAUCCAAAAAUCUAUACAGAAAAAGCUAAUCAUUUUCUCCAAUCUCUCCCCCAAAGGUGUCUACUCCUGCAGGCUUACCUGUAACCUUUGUCACUCACUCUUCUGAUUCUGCAAACAUAUAAACCACGGAGCCACAGCCAAGAGAAUCUGGACUUGUUCGUUUUUCCUGAAAUAGGAUAUCUUAAAUAAUCCGUGGCUCAGCACUGCGCCCUUUUUUUUCUUUUCUUUUCUUUUUUUUUUUUUUUUUGAGACGGAGUCUCGCUCUGUUGCCCAGGCUGGAGUGCAAUGUCAUGAUCUUGGCUCACUGCAACCUCUGCCUCCUGGGUUCAAGCAACUCUCCUGCCUCAGCCUCCUGAGGAGCUGGGACUGCAGGUGCAAGACACCACGCCUGGCUAAUUUUUGUUAUUUUUAGUAGAGACAGUGUUUCACUAUGUUGGCCAGGCUGGUCUCGAACUCCUGACCUCAAAUGAUCUGCCUGCCUCGGCCUCCCAAAGUGCUGGGAUUACAGGCACAAGCCACAGCACCCAGCCUCACUGUGCCCUUUUCACUGGCAGGCAUUUUAUUGUCCCUACAGACCCAAGACGGGGUGGGGGAGACGUGCUUUGUGCUCACCUGGCUGGUUCAUGGGCAGGUGGCCUGGAGGACCCAGCCCUGGCAGCUGUGGGGUAGCUCCAGCCUGGGCCGGACAGCUUCUUUCAUCGCAGGCACCACUGCGGACAUUGCUGGGAGGAAGAGGAGGGAGAAGCGACGGGCUUCAUUAGGAACGGAAAUGCCAAGAUUAGUGAAAGAAUGAAAAGAGUCAAAACAGCCUAGAAAAGGCUUCAAUGAUCCUCAAACUGGAUGAUCGAAUCCCGAAUAAUUGGGAAUCAACAGUAAAGGCCAAAGCUUUCGAUGGAUUGGACGAGGCGCGUCCACCCUGGGGAGGGCCAUCAUUUUAUUCAGUCUACUGAUGCAAAUGCUUAUCUCUUCUGGAAACACCUUCACAGACAGACCCAGAAUAUAGUUGAACCAAAUACUGGGCACCUCAUGGCUCCAACAGGUUGACACAAAAAAUGAACCAUUGCAGAAAACGAAGAACAGUCACCAACUCCCACCCAUGCAGCUGGCUCAUUUGCUGGGCUGCCCUCCCCAGCAGGUGGCACAGGAAUCCCUGCCUUGGCAGGGAGGAGGCCUGGGGUGUGUGCAGGUACCCAUGGGAAGUUUCUUUGCCAUGGGGAAAGCCAGAGUCACCCCUUGCUUGAACACAAGAGUUGGAGGUUUCAGUGAGCUGAGAUUACGCUAUUGCA